rnacentral:lncRNA from 1 species
CCGAGCGCGGGGCGUGCGGGGGCCGGGGCCGCGCAGAGAAGACGGCCGCAGCUGCCCCUGGCUCAGGUUCUCAGUAUUGGCGCCUUCGGACCAGCGCGUGUCCGGCUGCCUCAGCUGCUGCCGCACGACUCCGGGAGCCACUCGCUCUGAGCGGCCCGGCUCCACUACUCCCCUCUUGACUGCGCAAUUCCCGAAAUAAAUCGUCAACAUAUCUCCUACUGACAGUCUGUGCAAUGACAAACCAGAGGACAAGGGAAGGACGCCUUUCUUUACUGCCAUAAUCGGAACACAAGUGAAUCAGUAAGGAAGCCCUCUUGAAUCCGCAGGGACGACACAAACACUCAGUAACAAAGCCCCUGUUGAACAAAGAGGAAGCCAGCUAAAGAAAUUGAUAUACUAGUAAGUGAUGAACCAUUCAAUGGCGGGUGCAUUAAAGAAGCUUCCUGACAGGGCACUUCUGCACAUGAUGGAAUUCUGAACAGGCUGCGACAUCACGUCUCUACUGCACUGAAGCCAGAAUUUGUUUUAUCAGGGAAAUUAUGAGGUUCCCAAUGCCUCAGCUCAGCUGCAGCAGGCUACUGAAACCAACACACAUUGCUGCAAACUGCGGAUGCAUCCUGACACACCUGUUCCACCUGGGCGUUGCCGCUUGGCAGAUGGCUGGUCCCCAUCAGCGCCCUCCAGUGACCGCUUAGUCACAAGUCCCGAGCCCAUCUCAUCUG